CAAGUGCGAUCUCGAGUCGCCGCCAUGACAGGAAUGUCGGAGAAAACCGUAAGUAGAAUUACUAAAGAAGGUGAAAUUGCUGCCUCUACCUCACAAAAACUGAAGUCUCCUGGAAAACAUCGUCUGAAACGUAAAACAGUGGAACUUGAUGAUUUCGAUUUAUGCGCUAUAAGAAAUAAAGUUCAUGAAAUGUAUACUGUAAGAAAAGUUGUUCCUACCUUAAAUAAAUUACUUGUAGAAUUAAAGAAUGACAUCAAUUUUGUUGGGGGCCGAACGACUUUGUGGAAAAUUUUAAAACAGCUU